AUUCCGGUUGAUCCUGCCGGAGGACAUUGCUAUUGGGAUUCGAUUUAGCCAUGCUAGUCGAGCGAGUUCAGACUCGCGGCGAAUAGCUCAGUAACACGUGGCCAAGCUCCCCUUCAGUCAGCGAUACCCUCGGGAAACUGAGGUUAACAGCUGAUACAAAACGCCAGCUGGAAUGCGGCGUUUCAGAAAGACAUCGCUGAAGGAUGCGGCUGCGGCCGAUUAGGUAGACGGUGGGGUAACGGCCCACCGUGCCAGUAAUCGGUACGGGUGAUGAGAGUCAGAGCCCGGAGACGGAAUCUGAGACAAGAUUCCGGGCCCUACGGGGCGCAGCAGGCGCGAAACCUUUACACUGCACGGAAGUGCGAUAGGGGAAUCCCAAGUGCGAGGGCAUAUUAGCCCUCGCUUUUCUCGACUGUAAGGUGGUCGACGAAUAAGAGCUGGGCAAGACCGGUGCCAGCCGCCGCGGUAAUACCGGCAGCUCAAGUGAUGUCCCAUAUUAUUGGGCCUAAAGCGUCCGUAGCU
rnacentral:rRNA from 2 species